rnacentral:misc_RNA from 1 species
GUGAAUCAUCGAAUUUUUGAACGCAAAUUGCGCUCUCUGAUAUUCCGGAGAGUAUGUCUGUUUGAGGGUCAGUUUAAAUAAAAAUCGUUGUGGUUGCUGCCUUUAGUGGUGAUGCACCGGAUUUGGGUCGUCUUGCCUUCGGUUAAGUGACCUUAAUUUGUGCAUGUUUUUUUCGAACGUAUUUAAAUGAUUUUACGUACGUUUGCGAUAUCUAAUUCUUGGUGUGGUCAUUCUCAUGAUUCGGG